rnacentral:misc_RNA from 1 species
GAUGAAGAACGCAGCGAAAUGCGAUAAGUAAUGUGAAUUUCAGAAUUCAGUGAAUCAUCGAAUCUUUGAACGCACAUUGCGCCCGCCAGUAUUCUGGCGAGCAUGCCUGUUCGAGCGUCAUUUCAACCAUCAAGCCCCAGGCUUGUGUUGGAGCCCUGCGGCUGCCGCAGCCUCCCAAAACCAGUGGCGGGCUCGCUAUCACACCGAGUGCAGUAGUUUACUCUUCGCUCAGGGCGUGUGGCGGGUGCUAGCCGUGAAACCCCCAACUUCUCAAGGUUGACCUCGGAUCAGGUAGGAAUACCCGCUGAACUUAAGCAUAUCAAUAAGCGGAGGA